AGUGGCGGACGGGUGAGUAACGCGUGGGUAACCUACCUGUACAGGGGGACAACAGUUGGAAACGACUGCUAAUACCGCAUAAGCGCACAGCAUCGCAUGAUGCAGUGUGAAAAGUUUUUUCGGUACAAGAUGGACCCGCGUCUGAUUAGCUAGUUGGUGAGGUAACGGCCCACCAAGGCGACGAUCAGUAGCCGACCUGAGAGGGUGACCGGCCACAUUGGGACUGAGACACGGCCCAAACUCCUACGGGAGGCAGCAGUGGGGAAUAUUGGCACAAUGGGCGAAAAGCCGUGAUGCAGCGAACCGCCGCGUGAGCGAAGAAGUAUUUCGGUAUGUAAAGCUCUAUCAGCAGGGAAGAUAAUGACGGUACCUGACUAAGAAGCACCGGCUAAAUACGUGCCAGCAGCCGC
rnacentral:rRNA from 1 species